AGUGAACGCUGGCGGUAGGCCUAACACAUGCAAGUCGAACGGCAGCACAGAGGAGCUUGCUCCUUGGGUGGCGAGUGGCGGACGGGUGAGGAAUACAUCGGAAUCUACUCUGUCGUGGGGGAUAACGUAGGGAAACUUACGCUAAUACCCCAUACGACCUACGGGUGAAAGCAGGGGAGCUUCGGACCUUGCGCGAUUGAAUGAGCCGAUGUCGGAUUAGCUAGUUGGCGGGGUAAAGGCCCACCAAGGCGACGAUCCGUAGCUGGUCUGAGAGGAUGAUCAGCCACACUGGAACUGAGACACGGUCCAGACUCCUACGGGAGGCAGCAGUGGGGAAUAUUGGACAAUGGGCGCAAGCCUGAUCCAGCCAUACCGCGUGGGUGAAGAAGGCCUUCGGGUUGUAAAGCCCUUUUGUUGGGAAAGAAAUCCAUCUGGUUAAUACCCGGGUGGGAUGACGGUACCCAAAGAAUAAGCACCGGCUAACUUCGUGCCAGCAGCCGCGGUAA
rnacentral:rRNA from 1 species